rnacentral:lncRNA from 1 species
CGCCGUCCCCACGGUGCGCGCGCCUGCCGGGGCCGCGCGGGGAGGCGCGGCGGAGGGGCCCCUGCACCUCGUAGGUCCUUUCGCCUCCCGAACAAACUCCGUCCCAGGAAAUUGCACAGAGACGUGCGGCCGAACCUGAUGCCGCCAGAUCUCCAUCCGGAAAAAACAGACCGCCCCUCUGCUGACAGUCCGGGGGAUGCAACUUUGUUGUCGAGGUGCAGGUGAUUAAUACACAACUGCUGGAGGCCCGGACAGUUAACUGCCCUAUAGAGCUGUGACUUCUUAACCUGCAGAAGUGGAUGACUGUCUACAAUGCCUGCACCAGGAGGAUAUUAUUCUACAAAUAAGGGCCCAGCGUGACAUUUAUGAGAAAGCCAGGGUCCUUCUGUGCAAAACUGAUUGGUGCUCAGCCAAUGGGCUCCAGGGCAUUGCAAAUAAAACCACCUUCUCCACCGGGCCCGUUCAGAUGCAGGAUAGUGUGUUGCUUCUGCCUGUGGAACUUUAGGAAAUGCUCAACUCCUGUCCUAGCAAAAUACAUCUGUGGCCAGCUAAGUGAAACCAGCUUUGAAGAUGAAACACCUUCUUCCUCAAUUCCCUUCCAUCUUGGCCAUCUAUUGCUUCUGCAUGCUACAGAUUCCCUCUUCAGGAUCUCCUCGACCUCUAGCUGAUCCCCCAGAUGGCUUGGAUAUCACGCAGCUUGAGGUACGCUGCUGUUCAGUAAUGUGAGAUUUUUAUUUAGUCUUGGCCUUGAAAAUAUCAUGUGGAUAGUGUUCACUUGAAACUAUUUUAAGAUCAGAUUCUUGGCUGCAGCAGGAACUCAUGUUGCCAUUUUCAUGGCCUCAUUUAAAGCAUCACGAGAGUUGUGUUGAAAUUCACUGCCACUGUGUGAGAAGAUAAUGGAAGGUUCAUAAAUGGGACAACUUUAGUAUUUUACAUAUGUUUUAAUAGAUUGCUAUUGACUGAUUUGUACCGAUCUUUGAUUCAUUGUUCAUAUUUUUCUUUAGCGACUGGCAUAUUGGGCCACUCUUUCUAAGCAACCUAAGGUAAAAAAAAAUAUAUACAUAUAAUAAUUCAUUUAUUUUUAUUUUUUUAAAGAUUUAUUUAUUUAUUUGAGAGAGAGAGAGGAGUAAG